rnacentral:lncRNA from 1 species
GAAUGGCGGGGCAGCCCCCCCGCCCCCUCCCCUGCCAAUUCAUCAUCUUUGUUGAUAUUGGAGUUAAGCAAAGCCCAGAGUACCACGGAGCCAUUUAGAUGCAUUUUCCUUAAGAAGAAAGUGCAUAACUGAGGAUUACAGGCCAGGAACAAAGUAGAAGAGAAAAUCAUGCUGCUGCAGCUGGAGAAUUUCAAAGACCAAGCCCUCUUACCUUUCACUAAAGAGAAUGUGCCAAGUAUAGACAACAUUGGAUGGAAUCUUUCCAAAGGACAAAGCACAUAGGAAAACCACUAUGGAAUCUAAAUAAAAGGAACUAACCAUGAAACUGUAACUUGGAC